ACAGCAGCAAUGUAUGAACAAUUGAAGGAGGGAUUUCACAGAAAAUAAAUGCAUUUUACCAUUCGCAGAAACAUACACAGGAAAAGUCAUGCGCAACAGGACAGACAAAUUUUGGUCAUAUUAGAUAAUGUGUUCAUAUACCAAUAAUUCAAUAACUUGAAUAGUUUUAGUCUGCAUAUGUAAUUUAGUUAAAGAAAUUGCAUUAAUGAACAAAUUUGAAUUUAUUAUUAAGUAAUCACUUUCUUUUGGGAUUUUGAAAUAGAUCCAGGCAAUGAAAUGACAUAAAGAGAACAAAUUUUAUGAAACUAUAUUUCUCAGCACUUUGUGUAGGCACUAAAGAGCAAUCACAAUUCAGAGAACAUAAUUAAUCCUAGCAGGAACAAAUUUUUUUAGACAAUUCAUUUGUGACCCAGAGGUCACAGAUUCAAGUCACAGAAACAACCCCUCUAAAAAGCAUGGGUAAGGCUCGUACAUCAACUCUCCCCAAAGUCCACAAGUGUGGGAUGCUUUCUGCACCAGUUACUCUUUUAGGAAUAUAAAACUAUGCCUAAAAAAUA
rnacentral:misc_RNA from 1 species